rnacentral:rRNA from 1 species
UAAGGGCGCACGGUGGAUGCCUUGGCACUAGAAGCCGAUGAAGGACGUUACUAACGACGAUAUGCUUUGGGGAGCUGUAAGUAAGCUUUGAUCCAGAGAUUUCCGAAUGGGGAAACCCAGCAUGAGUUAUGUCAUGUUAUCGAUAUGUGAAUACAUAGCAUAUCAGAAGGCACACCCGGAGAACUGAAACAUCUUAGUACCCGGAGGAAGAGAAAGAAAAUUCGAUUCCCUUAGUAGCGGCGAGCGAAACGGGAAGAGCCCAAACCAACAAGCUUGCUUGUUGGGGUUGUAGGACACUCUAUACGGAGUUACAAAGGACGACAUUAGACGAAUCAUCUGGAAAGAUGAAUCAAAGAAGGUAAUAAUCCUGUAGUCGAAAAUGUUGUCUCUCUUGAGUGGAUCCUGAGUACGACGGAGCACGUGAAAUUCCGUCGGAAUCUGGGAGGACCAUCUCCUAAGGCUAAAUACUCUCUAGUGACCGAUAGUGAACCAGUACCGUGAGGGAAAGGUGAAAAGCACCCCGGAAGGGGAGUGAAAUAGAACCUGAAACCGUGUGCUUACAAGUAGUCAGAGCCCGUUAAUGGGUGAUGGCGUGCCUUUUGUAGAAUGAACCGGCGAGUUACGAUUUGAUGCAAGGUUAAGCAGUAAAUGUGGAGCCGUAGCGAAAGCGAGUCUGAAUAGGGCGUUUAGUAUUUGGUCGUAGACCCGAAACCAGGUGAUCUACCCUUGGUCAGGUUGAAGUUCAGGUAACACUGAAUGGAGGACCGAACCGACUUACGUUGAAAAGUGAGCGGAUGAACUGAGGGUAGCGGAGAAAUUCCAAUCGAACCUGGAGAUAGCUGGUUCUCUCCGAAAUAGCUUUAGGGCUAGCCUCAAGUGAUGAUUAUUGGAGGUAGAGCA